rnacentral:tRNA from 1 species
UAUAUUUAAGUAUAAGAAGUACAUUAAUUUUUGAUAUUAAAAGAAGUAGUUUGAAUCUACUAAAUAUAA